UACGGGGGGAGCAAGCGUUGUUCGGAUUUACUGGGCGUAAAGGGCGCGUAGGCGGCUAGCACAGGUCAGUUGUGAAAUCUCCGAGCUUAACUCGGAAAGGUCAACUGAUACUGUGCGGCUAGAGUGCGGAAGGGGCAACUGGAAUUCUUGGUGUAGCGGUGAAAUGCGUAGAUAUCAAGAGGAACACCUGCGGCGAAGGCGGGUUGCUGGGCCGACACUGACGCUGAGGCGCGAAAGCCAGGGGAGCGAACGGG
rnacentral:rRNA from 1 species